AGGGGAAUAUUGGACAAUGGGCGAAAGCCUGAUCCAGCCAUGCCGCGUGUGUGAAGAAGGUCUUCGGAUCGUAAAGCACUUUAAGUUGGGAGGAAGGGCAGUAAGCGAAUACCUUGCUGUUUUGACGUUACCGACAGAAUAAGCACCGGCUAACUCUUUGCCAGCAGCCGCGGUAAUACAGAGGGUGCAAGCGAUAAUCGGAAUUACUGGGCGUAUAGCUCGCGUAGGUGGUUCGUUAAGUUGAAUGUGAAAGCCCCGGGCUCAACCUGGGAACUGCAUCCUAAACAGGCGAGCUAGAGUAGGGCAGAGGGUAGUGGGAUUUCCUGUGUAGCGGUGAAAUGCGUAGAUGUAGGAAGGAACACCAGUGACGAAGGCGACCACCUGGGCUCAUACUGACACUGAAGUGCGAAAGCGUGGGGAGCAAACAGG
rnacentral:rRNA from 1 species